UCGAGAAUCUUCGGCAAUGGACGCAAGUCCGACCGAGCAACGCCGCGUGCGGGAUGAAGGCCUUCGGGUUGUAAACCGCUGUCAGUGGGGAGGAAAUCCCAAGGAGCUAUCUUCUUGGGUUGACCUAUCUUCAGAGGAAGUGCGGGCUAAGUUCGUGCCAGCAGCCGCGGUAAUACGAACCGCACGAACGUUAUUCGGAAUCACUGGGCUUAAAGGGUGCGUAGGCGGCCAUGCAAGUUGGGUGUGAAAUCCCUCGGCUCAACCGAGGAAUUGCGCUCAAAACUGCACGGCUUGAGGGAGAUAGAGGUGAGCGGAACUUGCGGUGGAGCGGUGAAAUGCGUUGAUAUCGCAAGGAACACCAGUUGCGAAAGCGGCUCACUGGGUCUCUUCUGACGCUGAGGCACGAAAGCUAGGGGAGCGAAGAG
rnacentral:rRNA from 1 species